rnacentral:rRNA from 1 species
GCCGCAGUAGCCUGACUGUGCUAAGGUAGCAUAAUCAUUAGGUCUUUUAUUGGGAUCUGGAAUGAAGGAAUAAAUAGAUAGAAGCUGUCUAGUGAAAAAUUUUGAAUUUAAAUUUUUAUAAAUAAUGCUAGAAUGACCUUAUGGGACGAUAAGACCCUAUAAAGCUUAAUUUGUUAGCUUUAAGUGUUUUUGCUGAAUUUAACGUCUUAUUAAUUUGACUGGGGCGGUUGGCAGUGUAACCUGCUUUGACUAUAGUAUUUUUGAUCCAUUAUUAGUGAAAUAAGAAUAAGUUACUUUAGGGAUAACAGCAUAAUAUCCCUAUGGAGUUCUAAUCGAAGGGGAUGAUUGUGACCUCGAUGUUGAAUUAAUCUUAAUGUAUGAUGAAGAAGUUAUAUGUUUUAGUCUGUUCGACUAUUGAAUGAUUACAUGAUUUGAGUUCAAACCGGUGUGAG